AAAAAGAGUAGCCUGUGGGCUGAAUGAGGAGAUACUCAAACUGUUCAGGCAGUGUGCUGGAGGCAAAGAAAAAAAAGGGAUUACUUUUGAAUUAUUCAGGUUUGAAUAAAAAGAGAAUAACUGACAGAAGCCUGUGGAUAUUUUUGAACCCUGCCAAGGAGCAGGAAACGUGAAAUGAGAUACCUGUUCAGUGGCAAAAUCCAGUUAGAUUGAUCUCAACCCAGACUACAAUGAAUUGCUACGUCUAUCUUGAUUUUUCAAACAUUUCCUUUUCUUUUUCUUUUUUUUUUCUUUUUUUUUCUUUUUUUUUUUUUCAAUAAAACUCAUCUGUUAUUUAUAAUGAUAUAGAUUAACUUUCUGAGACAAUGUCAGUCAUUUGCAUUUCCACAUGGUGAAUAUGCAAAAUAAGCCACUGGCCAAAUGCAAACAUAUAUACAGGAAAUCUUCCUGACUGUAAGUGCUUGCAAACAACAAAGACACUCAAGUAUUCUGAUGAUGGGGCUUGUAUAAGAAUCUACGUGGCUAGACAGAGUGAAUCCUCUAUUUUCUGUUCCUACUGUAACCAGCCAUAUCUCCUGCUGUUCUGAAUCACUAGGUUCAAAUCAUUGGCUUCCAAGAAUCCUGUAGCUGGAAGUGUUGAAGACAGAAAAACUCUAAUGGGUCAUUUCGGACAGCCUCCUGCCAGGACAUGAUUAUUCCCUCCAGAGCUAUGUUAGUGCUUGAUGAACAGCAUCACUAACCACAAAUGAGGCAAUGUUGUCCACAAACAUAGACAAGCAGAAAGAAGAUACAGGAUGGUGACCUGGAUGUCAUGAGUGUGUGAGUGGCAUCAUUUUCCUGUGUGUCAAUCUGCCUGCAUAUGAAGAUCCACUGGAACAAAGUUGAAUUUUGCAGAUGUUUUCAUUACUGAGGGCCUUGAGGUGUUGCAGAGUGGAGGUGCAUGGAAUUUCAUUUAUUUCUCUUCAACAGCUAUCAAAAGGUAUCCAAAGAAUGUGGCUGAGGAUCUCUUCACAGCCUAAAAAGUCUGGAUUAGAGAUGAGUCAUUCUGAUAAAUCUGAUAUAACAACCAUAAAUCAGAGGAAGCAAUUGGAAAGGCUGACUGCUGUUAUAUCAUUCCACUUCACUGAAUACAUUUGUUUGUUUAUUACUCACAUUUGCAAGAUGUAAGGACCCCACAGGGUUGAAAAUUUGAAAGAUUCUGUCAUUCAAUAAAAAAUCCCUAACAACAUUUGUUUUAAAAUGU
rnacentral:lncRNA from 1 species